rnacentral:rRNA from 1 species
UUCCUACGGGGCGCAGCAGUGGGGAAUAUUGGGCAAUGGGCGCAAGCCUGACCCAGCAACGCCGCGUGAAGGAAGAAGGCUUUCGGGUUGUAAACUUCUUUUGGCAGGGAAGAGCAGAAGACGGUACCUGUCGAAUAAGCCACGGCUAACUACGUGCCAGCAGCCGCGGUAAUACGUAGGGAGCAAGCGUUAUCCGGAUUUAUUGGGUGUAAAGGGUGCGUAGACGGAGAAGCAAGUUAGUUGUGAAAUCCCUCGGCUUAACUGAGGAACUGCAACUAAAACUACUUCCAUUGAGUACUGGAGAG